GACGAACGCUGGCGGCGUGCUUAACACAUGCAAGUCGAACGGAAAGGCCCUGCUUUUGUGGGGUGCUCGAGUGGCGAACGGGUGAGUAACACGUGAGUAACCUGCCCUUGACUUUGGUAUAACUUCAGGAAACUGGGGCUAAUACCGGAUAGGAGCUCCUGCUGCAUGGUGGGGGUUGGAAAGUUUCGGCGGUUGGGGAUGGACGCGCGGCUGAUCAGCUUGUUGGUGGGGUAGUGGCUUACCAAGGCUUUGACGGGUAGCCGGCAUGAGAGGGUGACCGGCGACAUUGGGACUGAGAUACGGCCAAGACUCCUACGGGAGGCAGCAGUGGGGAAUAUUGCACAAUGGGCGGAAGCCUGAUGCAGCAACGCCGCGUGCGGGAUGACGGCCUUCGGGUUGUAAACCGCUUUCGCCUGUGACGAAGCGUGAGUGACGGUAAUGGGUAAAGAAGCACCGGCUAACUACGUG
rnacentral:rRNA from 1 species